rnacentral:rRNA from 1 species
UAGGGAAUAUUGCUCAAUGGGGGAAACCCUGAAGCAGCAACGCCGCGUGAGUGAUGAAGGCCUUCGGGUCGUAAAGCUCUGUUGUACGGGAAAAAUGAGGAUGUGGCUAACAUCCAUAUCCUGUGAUUGUACUGUAUAAGAAAGGACCGGCUAACUUCGUGCCAGCAGCCGCGGUAAGACGGGGGGUCCUAGCGUUGUUCGGAAUCAUUGGGCGUAAAGCGUGUGCAGGUGGUUUGGUAAGUUGGAUGUGAAAGCCUUGGGCUUAACCCAAGAAGUGCAUUCAAAACUACCAAACUUGAGUAGGGAAGAGGGUCGUGGAAUUCCAGGUGUAGUGGUGAAAUACGUAGAUAUCUGGAGGAACACCGGUGGCGAAGGCGGCGACCUGGUCCUAUACUGACACUCAUACACGAAAGCGUGGGGAUCAAACAGGAUUAGAUACCCCCGUAGUCC